GAUGAACGCUGGCGGCGUGCUUAACACAUGCAAGUCGAACGGAAAGGCCCAAGCUUGCUUGGGUACUCGAGUGGCGAACGGGUGAGUAACACGUGGGUGAUCUGCCCUGCACUUCGGGAUAAGCCUGGGAAACUGGGUCUAAUACCGGAUAGGACGAUGUUUUGGAUGCCAUUGUGGAGAGUUUUUUCGGUGUGGGGGAAGCUCGCGGCCUAUCAGCUUGUGGGUGGGGUAAUGGCCCUCCCAGGGGUCUACGGGUAGCCGGGGUGUGAGGGUGUACGGCGACAUUUGGACUGAGAGACGCGGCAGAGUCCCAUGGGGGGGAGAAGUGGGGAAUAUUGUACAAUGUGGGCAAGACUGAGGUGGCGACGCGGCGCGUGGGGGGACGGCGUUCGGGGGGUAAACACCUUUCGCGCGGGACGCAGAGCGUGAGUGACGGUAAUGGGAGAAGAAGCACCGGCUAACUACGUG
rnacentral:rRNA from 1 species